CCUACGGGAGGCUGCAGUGGGGAAUAUUGGACAAUGGGGGGAACCCUGAUCCAGCCAUGCCGCGUGUGUGAAGAAGGCCCUCGGGUUGUAAAGCACUUUCAGUGAGGAAGAACGCCUGGUGGUUAAUACCCAUCAGGAAAGACAUCACUCACAGAAGAAGCACCGGCUAACUCCGUGCCAGCAGCCGCGGUAAUACGGAGGGUGCGAGCGUUAAUCGGAAUUACUGGGCGUAAAGCGCGCGUAGGUGGCUUGAUAAGCCGGUUGUGAAAGCCCCGGGCUCAACCUGGGAACGGCAUCCGGAACUGUCAAGCUAGAGUGCAGGAGAGGAAGGUAGAAUUCCCGGUGUAGCGGUGAAAUGCGUAGAGAUCGGGAGGAAUACCAGUGGCGAAGGCGGCCUUCUGGACUGACACUGACACUGAGGUGCGAAAGCGUGGGUAGCAAACAGGAUAGAUACCCGAGUAGUC
rnacentral:rRNA from 1 species